AUUGAACGCUGGCGGCAGGCCUAACACAUGCAAGUCGAACGAGUGUCAGACGGGAGAGUAAUGUCAGGGAAAAUGCAAGAUGGAGGGGGGUGAGGACUGGACACGGUAGAUGAUACCGCAUACUAUAGGAUGAGCCCAGAUGGGAGUAGCUAGUAGGUGGGGUAAAGGCUCACCUAGGCGACGAUCCCUAGCUGGUCUGAGAGGAUGACCAGCCACACUGGAACUGAGCCACGGUCCAGACUCCUACGGGAGGCAGCAGUGGGGAAUAUUGCACAAUGGGCGCAAGCCUGAUGCAGCCAUGCCGCGUGUAUGAAGAAGGCCGUCGGGUUGUAAAGUACUUUCAGCGGGGAGGCGUUACCCUCAGAAGAAGCACCGGCUAACUCCGUGCCAGCAGCCGCGGUAAUUC
rnacentral:rRNA from 1 species